GUGGGGAAUAUUGGACAAUGGGGGGAACCCUGAUCCAGCCAUGCCGCGUGUGUGAAGAAGGCCUUUUGGUUGUAAAGCACUUUAAGCGAGGAGGAGGCUACCGAGAUUAAUACUCUUGGAUAGUGGACGUUACUCGCAGAAUAAGCACCGGCUAACUCUGUGCCAGCAGCCGCGGUAAUACAGAGGGUGCAAGCGUUAAUCGGAUUUACUGGGCGUAAAGCGCGCGUAGGUGGCCAAUUAAGUCAAAUGUGAAAUCCCCGAGCUUAACUUGGGAAUUGCAUUCGAUACUGGUUGGCUAGGGUAUGGGAGAGGAUGGUAGAAUUCCAGGUGUAGCGGUGAAAUGCGUAGAGAUCUGGAGGAAUACCGAUGGCGAAGGCAGCCAUCUGGCCUAAUACUGACACUGAGGUGCGAAAGCAUGGGGAGCAAACAGGAUUAGAAACCCGAGUAGUCC
rnacentral:rRNA from 1 species